CCUGGUUGAUCCUGCCAAUACAUAUGCUUGUCUCAAGGAUUAAGCCAUGCACGUAAGAACACACAUCUGGUACAGUGAAACUGCGAAUGGCUCAUUAAAUUAGUUAUGGUUCCUUUGAUCGCUCCAUCUGUUACUUGGAUAACUGUGCUAAUUCUAGAGCUAAUACAUGCCAACUAGCGCUGACCUGCGCAUUUAUCAGACCAAGACCAAUCCGGGCUCGCCCAGCAGCUUGGAUGACUCUAGAUAACCUCUGGCCGAUAACAUGUCCCUGUGACGGCGACGACGCAUUCGGAUGUCUGCCCUAUCAACUUCCGAUGGUACUUUCUGUGCCUACCAUGUUGACCACGGGUAAUGGGGGAUCGGGGUUCAAUUCCGGGAGGGAACCUGAGAAACGUCUACCACAUCCAAGGAAGGCAGCAUGCGUGCAAAUUACCCACUCUUAACACAGGGAGGUAGUUAUGAAAAAUAACAAUACAGGACUCUUUCGAGGCCCUGUAAUCGGAAUGAGUACACUUUAAAUCCUUUAACGAGGAUCCAUUGGAGGGUAAGUCUGGUGCCAGAAGCUGCAGUAAUUCCAGUUCAAUAGUGCAUAUUAAAGUUGCUGCAGUUAAAAAGCUUGUAGUUGGCUCUUGAGAUCGAGCUGGCGGACCGCAGCGAGGCGAGGUACUGCCUGUCCCAGCCCCUGCCUCUCAGCGCCCCCUUGAUUCUCUUGACUGAGUUUCCUGGGGGUCUGAAGCGUUUACUUUGAAAAAAUGUGAGUCUUCAAAGCAGGCCGGUCGCCUCAAUAAUUCAGCCAGGAAUAAUGUAAUAGGACUCUGGUUCUGUUUUGUUGGUUUUUGGAACUGGGAACAUGAUGAAGAGGGACGGCUGGAGGCAUUUGUAUUGUGCUGCUAGAGGUGACAUUUUUGGAUUGGCGCACGACGAACCAAAGUGAAAGCAUUUGCCAAGAAUGUUUUCAUUAAUCAAGAAAGGAAGCCGGAGGUUCGAAGACGAUCAGAUGCCGUCGUAGUUCCGACCAUAAACAAUACAGAAAAGAGAUCCAGUGGCGUUAUUCCCAUGACCCGCUGAGUAGCUUCCGGGAAACCAAAGUCUUUGGUUUCCGGGUAAGUAUGGUUGCAAACCUGAAACUCAAAGGAAUUGAUGGAAGGGCACCACCAGGAGUGGAGCCUGCCACAGAAUUUGACUCAACACGGGAAACCUCACCUGGCUCGGACACGGAAAGGAUUGACAGAUUGAUAGCUCCUUCUCGAUUCUGUGGGUGGUGGUGCAUGGCCGUUCUUAGUUGGUGGAGCAAUUUGUCUGGUCAAUUCCAAUAACGAAGGAGAUUCCUCUAUGCUAACUAGUUACAAGACCCGCAGCGGUUGGCGUUCAACUUCUUAGAGGGGGAAGUGGCGUUCAGCCACAUGAGAUUGAGCAAUAACAGGUCUGUGAUGCACUUCGAUGUCCAAAGCUGUAUGCACGCUAAACUGAACGGAUCAGCGUGUGUCUACCCUUCACCGACAGGUGUGGGUAACCUGCUGAACCCCGUUCGUGAUAGGGAUUGGGGAUUGCAAUGAUUUCUCAUAAACAAGGAAUUCCUAAUACGACCGGGUCAUAAGCUACUGUUGAUUAAGUCCCUGCCCUUUGCACACAUCGCCCGUUGCAACUACUGAUUGGAUGGUUUAGUGAGGUCCUCGAAUCGGCCCCGCCAGGAUCGGCAAUGGCCCUGGUGGAGCGCAGAGAAGAUGAUCAAACUUGACUAUAUAUAGGAAGUAAAAGUCAUAACAAGGUUUCUGUAGGUGAACCUGCAGAAG
rnacentral:rRNA from 1 species